CCCUACGGGGGAAAGAUUUAUCGGGGAAGGAUUGGCCCGCGUUGGAUUAGCUAGUUGGUGGGGUAAAGGCCUACCAAGGCGACGAUCCAUAGCUGGUCUGAGAGGAUGAUCAGCCACAUUGGGACUGAGACACGGCCCAAACUCCUACGGGAGGCAGCAGUGGGGAAUAUUGGACAAUGGGCGCAAGCCUGAUCCAGCCAUGCCGCGUGAGUGAUGAAGGCCUUAGGGUUGUAAAGCUCUUUCACCGAUGAAGAUAAUGACGGUAGUCGGAGAAGAAGCCCCGGCUAACUUCGUGCCAGCAGCCGCGGUAAUACGAAGGGGGCUAGCGUUGUUCGGAAUUACUGGGCGUAAAGCGCACGUAGGCGGAUAUUUAAGUCAGGGGUGAAAUCCCGCAGCUCAACUGCGGAACUGCCUUUGAUACUGGGUAUCUUGAGUAUGGAAGAGGUAAGUGGAAUUCCGAGUGUAGAGGUGAAAUUCGUAGAUAUUCGGAGGAACACCAGUGGCGAAGGCGGCUUACUGGUCCAUUACUGACG
rnacentral:rRNA from 1 species